rnacentral:rRNA from 1 species
CGGCGAGUGAACAGGGAAAAGCCCAGCACCGAAGCCUGUGGCCGUUUGGUUACUAGGCAAUGUGGUGUUUAGGUCGUUCCGCAGAGGCUCUGCUCCACCCUAAGUCCAGCAAUGAGUACGGUAGUACGGACAUGGCCCACAGAGGGUGAAAGGCCCGUGGGGGUGGAGAUUCGGCAGGCCAGAGCCUCUCUGGGUAGACCUUGGAGUCGGGUUGUUUGUGAAUGCAGCCCAAAGUGGGUGGUAAACUCCAUCCAAGGCUAAAUACUAGCACGAGUCCGAUAGCGAACAAGUACCGUGAGGGAAAGUUGAAAAGUACUUUGAAGAGAGAGUAAACAGUGCGUGAAACCGCUCAGAGGUAAACGGGUGGAGUUGAACUGCAAGCUCUGAGAAUUCAGCUGAUGAGUGUGGUUUGAGCUUGGUCAAAUUGGUUGGACUUCGGGGUCUGCGUAGUAGCAGGUCUCUGCCCUCGGGUGGAGAUGCGCGAUGCACUUGUCAAGUGUUGUGCGCUCCGUAUGUUCUCCGGCCUGCUCGUCAGUGCACUUUCUCGGAGUAGUCACCACGACCGGCACUGCUGUCAGGCUGCUCUGGUUAAACCGUUCUUGCAUAGUCCUUUGUGGCUUUGCUUGAUCGGGAUGGCAGGUAGCUCGUUGACUUGUUUGUGGCUUGCUGCAAACGUUCGGUCUUCGAGUGUAAUCAGCUGACCUUAGUAGUACUGUGCAGUGUGUCGGAGACGGCGGCUUGUGGUGUGUGCAUGCGUGCCUAUCCUGCUGACCUGUCCGGGUUUGGUUGUUAUGUUGCCUGUUCAAGCAGGCCUGAUGAUAGCUCGGAUUUGUUCUGUGGGUGGUUGCGUGUGUGGCACUAUUCCAAGGGCCAACAGUCUGUGGUGUAGUGGUAGACGAUCCACCUGACCCGUCUUGAAACACGGACCAAGGAGAGUAACAUGUACGCGAGUCAUUGGGCGUUACGAAACCCAAAGGCGCAGUGAAAGUGAAGGUCUGACUCGUUCAGACUGAGGUGAGAUCCUGUCGUUUCUCACGCGCGGUACUACCAAGCAUCGAGCGGCAGGCGCAUCACCGGCCCGUCCCAUGGCAAUUGUUUUCGGACAGUUUUCGGUCGGGGCGGAGCAUGAGCGUACAUGUUGAGACCCGAAAGAUGGUGAACUAUGCUUGCGCAGGUUGAAGCCAGAGGAAACUCUGGUGGAGGACCGCAGCGAUUCUGACGUGCAAAUCGAUCGUCAAACGUGAGUAUAGGGGCG